AGAAUUGGGCACCACCGCCAUCACAGUCACCGAACGGCUUUCGAUGCAAAGAAAAAAGGAGGAAAAACCGAUCGAUAAUUCAUAUGACAUUCGGGGGUCAUUUCACUUGUGCGCUUGUUUUACGGAACUACUGUUUCAUGCUACGCGUACACACUCUAUUGCUCCCUUAACUUGUGAAUUCUAUUGGAAAAAUGUAACCUACUCUUAAAUAAGGAACAAAAGAAAUGCAUUCAAUAAUGGUGGCCGCCCCAAUUAAUGGCUCCCCAAUAAUGGCGGCCUGUACUUUGAAGCGAUUUUUAUGGCGAUCGACAUGCGCACAAACGACAAAUGGCGACGUAUGGGAAAAGCGAAAAGCACGUGUUUGAAAUUAUUUAUUCACACACGGACUAUGCGUUCACCAACAGAGACAGACCUUUGUAACGCAGAUGAUGACGAUGCGGAAGAUGUUUCAUACGUUACGAAAGACCGUGUCCGGUCCAAAGUUCAUCGUACGUCCCAAAAAAAACAAAAAAAAAAAAACCGGUCCCAAAAUGACGUGGAUGACGACGACGCCCGACGUGCAUUGUGUCGGGUGUGUUCAAGCUUACGUUUGGGUUGCAUGUGCUAGCCUGGUACUUGAUUCUUGAGCUAUGAAGCAUUUAUAGAGCAUCCCUGCCUAAUGGAAUGCUAUACUCAAAUUGCUAGCUUAAAGUUACCUCAUAAGCCUGUUACAGAACAACUUUUUGCUACAUAGACUUUUCGCCUGGGACGGUUCGCAUGGUUGCAUUUUUCUUUUGCCUUGAGAGUUCAAUAUAGCAAUGCAAAAACUUCUCACAACACCGUAGAAUUUAUCGAUGGAGGGGGAUGAUGUCUGCUAUAUUGCUAAGCGGCUGAUAUGUUAUCAGCUAAGUUAGGGGGAGAUUUGCGAUGAAAAUUGGUCAUAUUUUCCACCUUUUUGCAACCCUUCUGAACCACACCUCACAACACACACAUGGAAAUUUUUAAUCUUGUAACGACAGCCGAAAAGGGCUGAGAUCAAACAGGUGCAAUAACUAGCGCAAUAUCGCGUCAGUAUGACUGUUGUACUGGGCCACUUCUUCAAAGAUGAUUGCAUUACUGAAAAAUAAGCUCUCUGACACCAUUCGUGAUUUACGUUUGUGACACGUGACCGGCGUUUGGCCAGAACACCGUUUAUUAGUCUGUAAUGGGAUGACGAUUUACUCACAAACGCUAAAACGGGGGCCACUUAAGGUGCAACAAAGCUCCAAUUACUGUAUACUUCGUAUGUGUUUGUCAGUACUAUAUUAUUAAUUCUAGGUCUAUACACACACAUCUCGCAUCGAGCAAACCACCCGGGCCCAUUACAAUGUUUUCUUUUUGCCAUUUAAUACUACCAGCGAAAGGCAGCUAGAAACCGGAAAAGGUAUCUCCAAGAAAUGGCGUUGACUCGCGGUGCAUUCGUUGAUAAUGUAAGGAAGACACCACUUGAUAAAGGGAGAAGGUUCAACAAUCGACUCAGCGCGUUGUAUCAAAACUCGAGAUUCUUUCUUAUCGCUGUUGCCUGCUUGCGGCCAUCUCUACAGAUAGACAAAGGUCUAUUUUCUUCGACUAUGAUUUCGAAACGGACCCUUAAAGGAAAAUCCCGAGUAAAAUGAAUGCAUGAACGUUAUA